UUGCUCUUCAACGAGGAAUCCCUAGUAAGCGCAAGUCAUCAGCUUGCGUUGAUUACGUCCCUGCCCUUUGUACACACCGCCCGUCGCUACUACCGAUUGAAUGGCUCAGUGAGGCCUUCGGACUGGCCCAGAGAGGCGGGCAACUGCCACUCAGGGCCGGAAAGUUGUCCAAACUCGGUCAUUUAGAGGAAGUAAAAGUCGUAACAAGGUCUCCGUUGGUGAACCAGCGGAGGGAUCAUUACCGAAGUUACUCUUCAUACCCUUUUGUGAACACUACCCCAUUGCCGCGCGUUGCCUCGGCGGGGAGGUCCGCGGGGUUGCGCUCCGGCGCUCCCCCCGGGCCCCCGCCGGCCGCGCCGAACUCUUCAUUUGCAAAGCGGACUGUAUGUUCUGAUUAUAUCUUGAAAAACAAGUCAAAACUUUCAACAACGGAUCUCUUGGUUCUGGCAUCGAUGAAGAACGCAGCGAAAUGCGAUAAGUAAUGUGAAUUGCAGAAUUCAGUGAAUCAUCGAAUCUUUGAACGCACAUUGCGCCCGGCAGCAAUCUGCCGGGCAUGCCUGUCCGAGCGUCAUUUCUGCCCUCGAGCGCGGUUCGGCCCCUAGCAGGCCGUCCGCCGCCCGGUGUUGGGGCGCUGCGGGCCCUCGUGCCCGCAGGCCCUGAAAUGAAGUGGCGGUCCCGCCGCGGCGCCCCCUGCGUAGUAGUAAAGCACCUCGCAUCGGGUCCCGGCGGAGGCCAGCCGUCGAACCUCUUUCUCUUGAUGGUUUGACCUCGGAUCAGGUAGGGUUACCCGCUGAACUUAAGCAUAUCAAUAAGCGGAGGA
rnacentral:rRNA from 1 species